GCAACUCCAAUCCCUCACACCCGGCGCCCGGCCGCCCCCUUCCCCCGCGUCAAGCUCCCUCCUCUCUCCCUCCCCCUCAGUCCGCCUCCCUUCACACCGACGCAUCCUCCCGGCGGCCACCAGAUCCACCACCCGCCGGCCACCAGAUCUACCACCCGCCGGAGGCGACCUCUAGCCCGCGACGCGACGACGCCUCCUCCCGGCUGCGGAUCCGCGUGUGGAUCCAGAGGAGGCACGGCCCAAGGCGCGGAGCACAGAAUCGAGGGCUGGCGGCGCUUCUUCCUCUCCGCUCGGCGCGGAUCGAGUCCGCGGGUUCGGCUUCCUCCACCGGCAGCAGUGCGGGCUUCCUCCAACGGCGGCGGCACGGUUCGUCGCGGGCUCGCUGGAUCUGCUCAGCUGGGUUCGACCGUCGUUGGCCGCCGCCACCGCAACUUUCUCCGGAACGCGCGCUUCUAUUCAGAUCCAUGAAUAGGGCAUUCGCGUUCUUGUUCGCCGAUGGCUCCAGCGAGGAACUGAGCUCGCUGCAGGCGGAGGAACUGGCUGGGCCGGUGCCCUUCGUCAUGGCUGGCGUCAGCUAGGUGAAUGAGAUUCCUCUCCCCACGCACAGCAUUAUCACUAAGGCACUAACCCAAUGGCGUGUGCAAAUUUUGCAUCCUUAACAAAAUUUGCUUGUUACAUUCUUAGUCUUACAGAAGGUUAAAAAAAAGGUCUUAACUGUUAGCUUAUGUAUCUAGAGACGGAGUAUGUUAGCUUCUUCUAUAGGUGUAGCUACAUCAAUUAUUCUUGGAUUCGUGAAUGCAAUGCAAAUUAAAUAUGCAAAACUGUCUUGUAACUGGCAUGUGCUAACUAUAAAUUAUUUAUGCAACACAUGUGCUUUUGCUAAUUUCUGUUGAUGCCUUUAUAUUAAUAAAGACUAAGCAAAGUCUUGCUAAGGAAAGUACUGCACCAUGGUGCCCAGCAUCUGCUAUAUCUGAUGUGCCUUCUUUUGUUACAAUAUGCUAUGCUACUUCAAUUGAUAUUGGUUUUCAGGUCCAGCCGCCCUGGAUAGAAAGGUCAAAUUCAACCUUGAAGUAGUAAGCAAAUUCGAAAAAAAAAUGGAGAAUUAGAGCAGAAGAAAGCCUUGGAAUAGAAUUAGUACAGAAGAAAAUUGAGAAUUCUCUGUUCCUUUUUGUUCUGCAUGUCAACAAGUUGCUAAGAAAAACUCUUGGAUGAAAACUUGUACGUGAUGUGUCGGAAGAAACACUUUGUAUUUGAUGUAAUAUUGGAUGAAAAGUUAUUGUAUUUGAUGUAAUACUGGAUGAAAGUUAUUGUAUUUGAUGUGAUGCCAGUUCUGUUUA